rnacentral:rRNA from 1 species
CCUACGGGUGGCAGCAGUGGGGAAUAUUGCACAAUGGGGGAAACCCUGAUGCAGCAACGCCGCGUGAAGGAAGACGGUUUUCGGAUUGUAAACUUCGGUUCUUGGUGAAGAAAAUUGACGGUAGCUAAGGAGAAGCCACCGGCUAAUUACGCGCCAUCAGCGGGGGUACCACGGAGGUGGCAAGCGUUGUCCGGAAUUACUGGGUGUAAAGGGAGCGCAGGCGGGAAGCCAAGUCAGCUGUGAAAACUACGGGCUUAACUUGUAGACUGCAGUUGAAACUGGUUUGCUUGAGUGAAGUAGAGGUUGGCGGAAUGCCGGGUGUAGCGGUGAAAUGCGUAGAUAUUCGGAGGAACACCGGUGGCGAAGGCGGCCAACUGGGCUUUAACUGACGCUGAGGCUCGAAAGUGUGGGGAGCGAACAGGAUUAGAUACCCCUGUAGUC